rnacentral:rRNA from 1 species
CUACGGGACGCUCCAGUGAGGAAUAUUGCACAAUGGGGGGAACCCUGAUGCAGCAACGCCGCGUGGAGGAUGACGCAUUUCGAUGUGUAAACUCCUUUUAUAUGUCAAGAAAAUGACGGUAGCAUAUGAAUAAGCACCGGCUAACUCCGUGCCAGCAGCCGCGGUAAUACGGAGGGUGCAAGCGUUACUCGGAAUCACUGGGCGUAAAGGACGCGUAGGCGGGUUGGAAAGUCAGGUGUGAAAUCCUACAGCUUAACUGUAGAACUGCACUUGAAACUUCUAAUCUAGAGUAUGGGAGGGGGAGAUGGAAUUAGUGGUGUAGGGGUAAAAUCCGUAGAUAUCACUAGGAAUACCUAAAGCGAAGGCGAUCUCCUGGAACAUUACUGACGCUAAGGCGUGAUAGCGUGGGGAGCAAACAGGAUUAGAUACCCGAGUAGUC